CAGACGUGGUCGGCGUCUUCCCUGGGGGCGACGCUCCUUUUCCUCAGGGCGGAGCGGGCGGCGCCAUGGCGGCUUCGGGACCGCGUGGCCCUCGUUCCUGCAGGAGGAGGACGCUCCUCGCUCGCUGUCUGAGAUCCAAGUCACUUUCUGACACUGAGAGUAAACAAGGGGAAAGGCCUUAUAGCCAUUUGAAUAUGUUCAGCCAUGAAGUGAAACAGACUCACUUAAUUCUGAGUCCUGAGAGACAGUGACCCAGACACAGCCCUACCAGUUUCCUCUGGACAUAAGCCCAGGAAUGGGAUUGCUGGAUCAGAUGGUAAGUGUAUUUUUAGUCUUUUGAAGACUCUUCAUACUGUUUUCCACAAUGGCUGCACCAAACUACAUUCCCACCAAUGGUAUAGAGGAUACCUUUUCCUCCAAAUCCUCUCCAGCAUUUAUUCUUUGUGGACUUUUGAAUGAUGACCAUUCAGACUGUUGUGAGGUGAUACCUCAUUGUACUUUCAACUUGCAUUUCUCUGAUAAUUACUGAUAUUGAGCAUUUUUUCAUGUGCCUUUUGUCCAUUUGUAUGUCUUCUUUGGAGAAUUGCUUGCUUAGAUCUUCUGCCCAUUUUUUAAUUGGUUAUGAUUUUUUCUUACAAAGUUGUAUGAGCUGCUUAUAUAUAUUGGAGAUUAAGCCCUUGUCAAAUUCAUCUUUUACAAAUAUUUUCUCCCAUUCUGUAGGUAGUCUUCUUGUUUUGUUUAUGGUUUACUUUGCUGUGACAAAACUUAUAAGUUUAAUUAGAUAGGUCCCAUUUGUUUAUUUUUGCUUCUAUUUCAAUUGCUUGGGUAGAAUAUCCAGGAGAACAUUACUGAGAUUUAUGUGGGAUAAUGUUUUGCCUAUGAUUUCCUCUAAGAGGUUUAUAGUACCUUGUCUUAGGUUAAAGUUAUAAGUCUUUUAGAGUUUGUCUUUGUGUAUGGUGUGAGGGAGUAUUCUAACUUCAUUGAUUUACAUGCAGCUGUUCAGUUUUCCCAGUACCACUGACAGAAGAGACUGUCUUUAUUCCAUUGUAUGUUCUUGCCUCCUUUGUCAAAGAUUACUUGACCAAAAGUUUGUGGAAUGAUUUCUGGGAUCUCUAUGCUCUUCCAUUGAUCCAUAUGCCUGUUUUUGUUCCACUACCAUGCUGAUUUGAUUAGUGUAGCUUUGUAGUAUUGUCUGAAGCCUGGAAGGAUUAUUCCUCCAACUUUGUUCUUUUUCUUCAGUAAUGCUUAGGCAGCUCUGGGUCUAUUUUGAUUCCAUAUAAAUUUUAGUAUGAUGUGUCCUAGUUCUGUGAAAUAAGUCCUGGGUAAUUUGAUAGGAAUCACAGUAAAUCUGUAGAUUGCUUUGGGUAUAUGGUCAUUUUAACAAUAUUAAUUUUUCCAAUCCGAAGAAUAUGGGAUAUCUUUCCAUUUCUUUAAAUACUUUUAAUUUCCUUAGCAUUUUGUAAUUCUCCACGUAUAAGUCUUUAACUUUGUUGGUCAGAUUUAUUCUUAAGUUUUUUUAUUUUUUUUUGAUACAGUCUUAAAAGGAAUUACUUCUUUACUUUCAUUUUCUGAUAUUUCAUUGUUAGUGUAAAGACAUGCCUCUGACUUACGGAUGUUAAUCUUGUAUCCUACUAAUUUGCCAGUUUCUUUUAUCAGCUAUAGUAGUCUUUGUGUGGAGCUUUUAGGGUUUUCUAUAUUUAGUAUUAUGUCAUCCAUGUAUAAUGCAAUUUUACCUCUUCUCUUCCAGUUUAGAACUGUUUUAAUUUCCUUGUCUAAUUGCUAUGGCUAGAACAUCCAAUGCUAUAUUGAAUAGAAGUGGUGAGACACAACAUUCUUUUCUUGUUCCAGAUUUUAGUGGGAAGGCUUUCAAAUUUUCAACAUUGAGUAUUAUACUGGCUGUAGUUUUGUCA